rnacentral:tRNA from 2 species
GGAAGGGUGGCCGAGUUGGUUAUGGCGCCAGGUUAAGGUCAGCUUAACAUCUGUCUCCUGGUGGGGCAACCCGCGCGAGUUCGAGUCUCGUCCCUUUCA